UGGGGAAUAUUGCACAAUGGGCGCAAGCCUGAUGCAGCCAUGCCGCGUGUGUGAAGAAGGCCUUCGGGUUGUAAAGCACUUUCAGCGAGGAGGAAGGCAUAAAGGUUAAUAACCUUUGUGAUUGACGUUACUCGCAGAAGAAGCACCGGCUAACUCCGUGCCAGCAGCCGCGGUAAUACGGAGGGUGCAAGCGUUAAUGGGAAUUACUGGGCGUAAAGCGCACGCAGGCGGUUUGUUAAGUCAGAUGUGAAAUCCCCGCGCUUAACGUGGGAACUGCAUUUGAAACUGGCAAGCUAGAGUCUUGUAGAGGGGGGUAGAAUUCCAGGUGUAGCGGUGAAAUGCGUAGAGAUCUGGAGGAAUACCGGUGGCGAAGGCGGCCCCCUGGACAAAGACUGACGCUCAGGUGCGAAAGCGUGGGGAGCAAACA
rnacentral:rRNA from 1 species